rnacentral:rRNA from 1 species
UGGGGAAUAUUGGACAAUGGGCGCAAGCCUGAUCCAGCCAUGCCGCGUGAGUGAUGAAGGCCCUAGGGUUGUAAAGCUCUUUCACCGGUGAAGAUAAUGACGGUAACCGGAGAAGAAGCCCCGGCUAACUUCGUGCCAGCAGCCGCGGUAAUACGAAGGGGGCUAGCGUUGUUCGGAUUUACUGGGCGUAAAGCGCACGUAGGCGGACUAUUAAGUCAGGGGUGAAAUCCCGGGGCUCAACCCCGGAACUGCCUUUGAUACUGGUAGUCUUGAGUUCGAGAGAGGUGAGUGGAAUUCCGGGUGUAGAGGUGAAAUUCGUAGAUAUUCGGAGGAACACCAGUGGCGAAGGCGGCUCCCUGGCUCGAUACUGACGCUGGGGUGCGAAAGCGUGGGGAGCAAACAGG